UUGAGAAGUCGAUGUAUGAAUUCGUUGUCAGUUUACCCUUCGAGCACUUCCGUGGUGGCGGCUCCGUUGAUGUCCUUCAGCUCGUUCGACUUGAAUGUGGCCACGAAACUGAUAUUACCCAGUUUCUGUAACGUUAACGGAGCGUAUUGAGAGCAUGGCGCUAUUAUUUUUCAUAGCAAUUUUCUUUCUACGUAAUCAUUGGUAGCUUCAAGGGGAUAUUCUGGUUUCACUGAAGCUUCACCUAGAUAGACGAGCUCACGGGGCUCAGCCUGAUAAAAUUGCCAACUUCUCCCCUAGCAAGAACUGUGCUUUGAUGAAUCUGCCACCGGAUCAGAAUCGCAACCCACUCAAAAGGUCCCGUGAGGAAUUCACUGGGUUGGAUCUACCGUUUGUGUCUAUGUGACAAUCAUUGUUCAAAUGUAUAUUCUUUAAAUAUACCGGAAGAAUA